UGAGUGAGAAGGGAGUUCUCUUCAGUCCACUCAAAGAUGGUCCUUGGCCUGAAGCAGCUGCCGACUCGUUCAUGCGCCUGCUGUAUCUCGUACUGGCGAAGAGGAGAAGCGAUCGAGAUAAAUAUAGAGAUACUGUAGAUGUAUGAACGAUGCGGGAGCUGAUUUCGCCCGAGGGCUGCCAUUACUUGGACUGAAGGGAGCUCCCUUCCCAAUGAGU
rfam:Picea glauca, whole genome shotgun sequence.